rnacentral:rRNA from 1 species
GUAGGUGGCAAGCGUUGUCCGGAAUUAUUGGGCGUAAAGCGCGCGCAGGCGGUUCUUUAAGUCUGAUGUGAAAGCCCACGGCUCAACCGUGGAGGGUCAUUGGAAACUGGAGAACUUGAGUACAGAAGAGGAAAGCGGAAUUCCACGUGUAGCGGUGAAAUGCGUAGAGAUGUGGAGGAACACCAGUGGCGAAGGCGGCUUUCUGGUCUGUAACUGACGCUGAGGCGCGAAAGCGUGGGGAGCAAACAGGAUUAGAUACCCUGGUAGUCCACGCCGUAAACGAUGAGUGCUAAGUGUUAGGGGUUUCCGCCCCCCUUAGUGCUGCAGCUAACGCAUUAAGCACUCCGCCUGGGAGUACGGCCGCAAGGCUG